rnacentral:rRNA from 1 species
AACGAACGCUGGCGGCAGGCUUAACACAUGCAAGUCGAGCGCCCCGCAAGGGGAGCGGCAGACGGGUGAGUAACACGUGGGAAUCUACCCAUCCCUACGGAACAACUCCGGGAAACUGGCGCUAAUACCGUAUACGCCCUUUGGGGGAACGAUUUAUCGGGCAUGGAUGAGCCCGCGUUGGAUUAGCUCGUUGGUGGGGUAAAGGCCUACCAAGGCGACGAUCCAUAGCUGGUCUGAGAGGAUGAUCAGCCACAUGGGGACUGAGACACGGCCCAAACACCGACGGGAUGCAGCAAUGGGGAAUAAUGUACAGUGGGCGCAAGCCUGAUCCAGCCAUGCCGCGUGAAUGAUGAAGGCCUUAGGGUUGUAAAGUUCUUUCACCGAUGAAGAUAAUGACGGUAGUCGGAGAAGAAGCCCCGGCUAACUGCGUGCCAGCCGCCGCAGUAA